rnacentral:rRNA from 1 species
UACGUAGGGUGCGAGCGUUGUCCGGAAUUAUUGGGCGUAAAGGGCUCGUAGGCGGUUUGUCGCGUCGGGAGUGAAAUCAUCUGGUUUAACUGGGUGCUUGCUUUCGAUACGGGCAGACUAGAGGUAUGCAGGGGAGAACGGAAUUCCUGGUGUAGCGGUGAAAUGCGCAGAUAUCAGGAGGAACACCGGUGGCGAAGGCGGUUCUCUGGGCAUGACCUGACGCUGAGGAGCGAAAGUGUGGGGAGCGAACAGG